rnacentral:rRNA from 1 species
UACGGAGGGUGCAAACGUUGCUCGGAAUCACUGGGCGUAAAGCGCACGUAGGCGGUCCGAUAAGUCGGAUGUGAAAGCCCUGGGCUCAACCCAGGAAGUGCAUUCGAAACUGCAGAGCUGGAGUCCUGGAGAGGAAGGCGGAAUUCUCGGUGUAGAGGUGAAAUUCGUAGAUAUCGAGAGGAACACCGGUGGCGAAGGCGGCCUUCUGGACAGUGACUGACGCUGAGACGCGAAAGCGUGGGGAGCAAACAGG